CUCAAAGCACUGAAGCUGGCUCUUUUCAACAUAUUUCUACUUCUCCCCAUUUCUUGUCCCUUAAUAUUUACUCUUUAACUCCUACUGUGCUUUCCUAGGCCCUUCUGCCUAAGUAGAGCUCUUUUCUGAGGCCAUAGACUUAGCCUCUGUAAAACGGUGUUCUUUCAGGUCUACCUCAGGCUGGUCCAGGUUCCCAGACCCAGAGGAUGUUUCUAGUCCUAUGUAGCUUGGGGCACUUCCUUCAUUGUAGUAAGAUCCCUCUUGGUCUCCCCCAUCACCUCUCCCACCCCCUACUCCUUUAUUCCCUCUCCCUGGCUCCACCCUCUACACAACUCGUGGGGACACACACAGGCUCAUUGUUUGUCUGGGGGAAGAAGUUGAUGGCUCUGGGAAGGGCCAGGAAUGGGAAAGGGGUGGGGGUGGGAGCUGGAAUAGGAGGGGCUGGGCAGGCUUCCAGCCCGGCUGGAGAAAGGGUUUGGUUUCCUGAUGACUGAACUUGCAUAGGAAGACGGGCACUGAAAGGAUGGAGAAGAGUUGGUUCCAAGGACAGCUCUCUGCUGCUGGACUCCUGCUGCUCUGGGGACUGUGGGCUUUUUUACUUCCCUCCCACUUCUCCAUUUCUCCCAUCCCUCCCCCACCCCCCUCCACUGCGCGGAACAGGCAGGGGAGGAGGAACAGAAAGACCAGAGGUUCAAGUCCUAAUGAGGUCUCUAGUGAUGCGGAGGAGAUCGUCUUCGCUUGGUCCCCAGCGAAUGGAUGUCCGGGUCUCUGAGCCGAGAGACUUAAAUCGGCUACUCACCUGAUACCUCUAAUGAAUACCAAGGGUUCCACCUGAGAAGGAAGAUGACCUUGGCCUUCUGAUGAAGGGACUCCCUGGAACAGAACAGCAGCAGAGCAAGCAGAGCCCUAUAUAUUGGUCCCAGUUAAUGAGAAGCAGGUGCUUUCCCUCCUCAUCAAAACACUCUCAGAGCAGGAGAUUUGGGGGACAUGCUUUAAGCAAUGCCUAAAAGACAGAACAGGUUAAAAACGUAGUGAAAGGAAACAAGCACAUGGCAGGAAUGCUGUCAUCUAAAUGAACCCUUUCUCCUUCCGAGCUAGAUAUAAUUAUACAAAGAGCUAGGAACUUAUUUUCCCUGGGGAAAUAUAUAUUAGUAAAUUCAUUCAUUAGAGUCUUGAUAGUUUGAUUGCGGAGAUAAGACCAUAUUAGCUAAAGUAAGACUCUGCUUUCGGAUGACAUUUGUUUUUGUAAAUUUAUUAUUUAUCUUAACAUUUUUUUGAAUUCCAAACUCUCUCUCCUUCUCCCACCUUCCCCUACCUAUUGAGAAGAUAAGCAACAUGAUAUCAACCAGACAUGUGAAAUACUGCGAAACAGUUAUAUAUUAGCUGUAUUCUUCCCUCCCCCCUCCCUCAAAUAAAGUGAGAAAAUUAUACUUC